UGCAUGUAAACUUUCCGAGCUUACAUGACUUUUCUUUCAGCAAUUACCUAAAGUUAGCGUUUAGCCCAGCCAGGUAUCUACCAAGAGUAUCAACCUAGCUAAAGUG